rnacentral:rRNA from 1 species
GUCCUAAGGUAGCGAAAUUCCUUGUCGGGUAAGUUCCGACCUGCACGAAUGGCGUAAUGAUGGCCAGGCUGUCUCCACCCGAGACUCAGUGAAAUUGAACUCGCUGUGAAGAUGCAGUGUACCCGCGGCUAGACGGAAAGACCCCGUGAACCUUUACUAUAGCUUGACACUGAACAUUGAGCCUUGAUGUGUAGGAUAGGUGGGAGGCUUUGAAGUGUGGACGCCAGUCUGCAUGGAGCCGACCUUGAAAUACCACCCUUUAAUGUUUGAUGUUCUAACGUUGGCCCGUAAUCCGGGUUGCGGACAGUGUCUGGUGGGUAGUUUGACUGGGGCGGUCUCCUCCUAAAGAGUAACGGAGGAGCACGAAGGUUGGCUAAUCCUGGUCGGACAUCAGGAGGUUAGUGCAAUGGCAUAAGCCAGCUUGACUGCGAGCGUGACGGCGCGAGCAGGUGCGAAAGC